rnacentral:rRNA from 1 species
UACAGAGGUCUCAAGCGUUGUUCGGAUUCAUUAGGCGUAAAGGGUGCGUAGGCGGCGGGGCAAGUCGGAUGUGAAAUCUCAGGGCUCAACCCUGAAACUGCAUUCGAUACUGCCUUGCUCGAGGACUGGAAAGGAGAUUGGAAUUCACGGUGUAGCAGUGAAAUGCGUAGAUAUCGUGAGGAAGACCAGUGGCGAAGGCGGAUCUCUGGACAGUUCCUGACGCUGAGGCACGAAGGCCAGGGGAGCAAGCGGG